GACGAACGCUUUCUUCGUGCUUAACACAUGCAAGUCGAACGGAAAGGCCCUGCUUUUGUGGGGUGCUCGAGUGGCGAACGGGUGAGUAACACGUGAGUAACCUGCCCUUGACUUUGGGAUAACUUCAGGAAACUGGGGCUAAUACCGGAUAGGAGCUCCUGCAGCAUGGUGGGGGUUGGAAAGUUUCGGCGGUUGGGGAUGGACUCGCGGCUUAUCAGCUUGUUGGUGGGGUAGUGGCUUACCAAGGCUUUGACGGGUAGCCGGCCUGAGAGGGUGACCGGCCACAUUGGGACUGAGAUACGGCCCAGACUCCUACGGGAGGCAGCAGUGGGGAAUAUUGCACAAUGGGCGGAAGCCUGAUGCAGCAACGCCGCGUGCGGGAUGACGGCCUUCGGGUUGUAAACCGCUUUCGCCUGUGACGAAGCGUGAGUGACGGUAAUGGGUAAAGAAGCACCGGCUAACUACGUG
rnacentral:rRNA from 1 species